CCGAGUGAGGGCCCUUUGGGUCCAACCUCCCACCCGUGUUUAUUUACCUCGUUGCUUCGGCGGGCCCGCCUUAACUGGCCGCCGGGGGGCUCACGCCCCCGGGCCCGCGCCCGCCGAAGACACCCCCGAACUCUGCCUGAAGAUUGUCGUCUGAGUGAAAAUAUAAAUUAUUUA
rnacentral:misc_RNA from 2 species